rnacentral:tRNA from 1 species
CCUUCGAUAGCUCAGUUGGUAGAGCGGUGGACUGUAGAGGUUGAGUAGAGCUACGUGCAGCAGGCAUCCAUAGGUCGCUGGUUCAAAUCCGGCUCGAAGGA